GGAGAGGUGGGUGAGUGGCUGAAACCGCGUCCCUGCUAAGGACGUAUACCGCAAGGUAUCGGGGGUUCGAAUCCCCCCCUCUUCGCCA
rnacentral:tRNA from 1 species